GAAUACACGAGCGAUAAACACAGUCAUAAUAUCUCAUGUAUUCUUCUGAUGUUACCAACUUACUGGCAGGGUAACCAUCCAUAAUCAACUUCACUUUCGUAAUGCCCUCCUCUAACGUCUUCAAGCUCUCAUCUAGUCUCUUUGCAUUACUCAUUCUCUCAAUUCUUCCACCGAUUAGGGUUUAUUGAGAGGGAAUGGAAGGAAGUUUUGUACUUUGCUUAG
rnacentral:misc_RNA from 1 species